CGGGAGCUCAUAUAUUUAGAGUGAGAUAUGUUGAAAGUGAAGCACAUCUUCUUCUGAUUGUUCCAAGGUUGCAGAAUGACAAAGUGCUGGAAGCUGAUGGAAGUGGGGAUGAUGAUACCUGCUGUGUGAGAUCCAACAACAUAUUCUUGCAAAUGCUCUUGCUUAAAUGGAAAGAAGCAGUCCCGCCCACUCAAGUUCAAUGGCUGCGUGGUGUCAUGUCAUGAUUAAAUGUAGAGAAGAUUCGGUGUUCAGUUUCUGAAUCUAAUCAAGACUUUCAAACAUUGUGGAGACCUUUUCUGAACUAUUUUCAAAACCUUUGAUUUGCCGUUAAAGCACAGAUGAUGGCUAAUAAUAUACUUUUUUUUCUUUUUUCUUUCUUACUAACCAGCUUCAGUCUUGGUUGUGGGUUAG